AUGUAAUGUAUGGGGAUUAACAUAACAAUAAAAAAUUAAAAGAAAAAGAAUAAUGUCUAGUGCAUAUUGCCUGUUUCCUGCAAGGUAGUCACAACGGUGUGCUGGUAAACACCCGACCGCCGGCGCCCUGCGGGGAGACCGUGAUUUCAGUGGUGCGAACCCUCUCACUGUGGCCGAUGUGAUGCCAGGUUCCCGGUGUGAGGCCGCCGUGCACGGAGGCGGGAAGAGGCGUGCAGCAGCUCCUUGCGGCUUGGAAUUUCCACUUCGGGGAUUCAGUAGACGUAAAUACACUAAGAGCAGAGGUGAUCGUAAAAGUAGAGUAAAAUUAUUUGGAAAUGAUGAGUUAUGAGGACCCUGGAGCACGGAGAAGCUAAGUGACUCGUUCAGGGUCACAGGCUGGGCCGGGAUUCAAACCCAUUAGUCCGCCUUCAGAACCUAGCCACUGAGGAUAAUCAUCGUCCUAGUCCCCUAGGAUUAUCGCGUACAGUGCACUUAGAUGAACGUCUGGCACCUUCCGUGUGCUCGGCCACAGGAUGAGGCGGCUGCAGAGGGCAGGCCGGCCCUGGGAACAAUGCACAGUGCACACUGCCCUGCCUGGACCUGCUAUUGGGCAGACAAGCCAGCUACAAGGCGGUGGGGCUGCUGAGAACUGGGGUCCUGCGGGAGCACCAGGAGCACAGCACCUGCUGACCCUCACUGGACAUGCUAAUGAGCAAGAAAGAAACCUAUGCUUCGUUGAGCCAUGGGGGACUUGGGGGCUUAAUUUGUUCCCAAAGCAUGAUCUGGCCCCUCUGGACUAACACAGAAAUUGAUGCCAGAGGGGGAUGUUGGUAUCAGAACAACGUCAAACAUGCAGCAUCGGCUCAGCAGUCAGCGGAUGAAGAGACACACCGGCGCUGGAACCUGUGAUCUGCGGAGGCAGAUGUUUGAUAAGACCUGCAGGAGCUUGGCAUACGUGACGAACUUGCAUCUUUAGAGAAAGAUGUUGGAGCAUAACACAAAGCAUGCACGCUGCGAUUGGCCCCACUUGGCAAAGUACAAUAAAAGAGACAAGCUCAAGAAGGCAUCUUGUUUACACCAAAAAGGAAAAGGAAUCAAGGGUCUUGCGCUGUUGAAAAGCCAGACGCCGCUCAACACAGCAACAGAAAGAGCACAGCUGGAGGAGCUCUGAGAGACAGAGACCUGGGAAGAGCUUGUAAACUGAUUUUGGCUAAUUACGUUUUCUCGAGGCCAAGCGCAGACUAACGGAGCACUGCCCCGUAAAUCCUUUCGGUCGGGUGGAGUGACUCAUGGCAGAGAUUAAUGGCGAGACCUUCCCAAAGAAGCCCAACAAGUUCCAGAGAGAGAAGGUGCAGACUUCAGAAAAGACACAGCAAGUUUGCUUUGUCUCUGCUCCGUGAUGUCUGGGGCUCCGCUGGGAAGACGAGCAGCUGCGAGGGCUGGUGGCUGACGCGCUCCCUGUCCACGUGCUGCACGCAGGCUCUGGCAGGCACAGCUGGCCACGCUGGGGCUUCCAGAGGAUGGAGGGGGGCGUCAGUCCUCUUCAAGGCCAGGCCUGGAGCCGGCCUGCUCUCCCCACCAUGCCGCGGGCCCUGGGCUGCCCGUGGGGCUGCUCCACCACCUUCUCUUGCCAGGCUGCGGAUGGCUGCAGGAAGGAAGGACCGCCUGAGCCGGCUACACGGGGCUGAAAACGCCGAACUAAGUGAGAGAAGCCCGACUGGACAGGCCAUGUGUUGGGUGAUUCCAUUUAUAUGAAAUAUCCAGAACGGGUAGGGGUGUGGAGACGGAAAGAUUUGUAGGAGUGACCGCUGGGGGCGGAGGGUUUUCUCUGAGGGGAUGAAAUGCUCUCGGGUUGACCAUGCUAAUGGCUAGCUUCAUGACCCCGGGCAAGUUCCCUAGCCUCUCUGAGCCCCGGCUGCUGCAUCUGGGUAAAAUGGCAUGAGAACAGCACCUGGCUUACCAGUGCUGUUUAGGCAGAUUAGCUGCAGUAAUCCGCUCCGUGCCCCGGGCAGCCCUGGCCGACGGGGAGCGUGGUGCUCGUCACGCUCCUGUUGCUUGUGCCUUCUACGGGGGAGAAAAUCGAGUCCCGAGAAGCGAGAUGAUUGUCACAGGGGCUGUGAGGCCGGCCCUUUCCGUCCCUCCCUUCGGGAUGCCGGCCACCAGCUGAGUUGGCGAGGUGGGCCUGGCCCGUCGGACCAGCCGCGCCCUCCCCGGGAUCCAAGUGAGGCUCAGCCGUGGGGCUGCUGCGGUCUUGGUGCCCAUGUGGCUCUUCAGCAGGCCUGCCGUUGUGGUUUGGAGAAAUACAUGGCAUGCUGAUUACUUAAUCCUAAAACAACGAGAAUUUUCUCUUUUUUAAGGGGCAAUGACAGGAAGCUGGCAGCGUGGCAGGACUGGCCACACACGUCCUGGGCUCCUUUCUCGGGGGGUGGAGGGAGACGUGGCCUGUGAAGCAGGGCUGAAUGGGGAUCUGGGGUUGGCCUCCUCCCUCGCUUUCCUCCUGCAGGCCCAGGGGUGCACUCUGAGAACCGGCAUGCGGCAAGCCAUCCUGAUCCCUGCGACCUCGCAUCUUUGGAUGGAAAUGCUGCCCUGGUGGCCAGUGCUCAGCAGGCAGGCCAUUUGGGCUGGCCUCGGGGCUCCCGAAAAUGAGGGUUCACAAAGAGGAGACUAGCAUAACCUGGCCGCCACUUACAGCCAUGCACCCUGGGAAGUGGGGAUCUUUGUCCCUGAACUUGGGUUCUAUCACUCAUUUGAGCAUUCUCCCCCGGGGACGAAGAUUCACUGCACACCAAGGAACCCCUGCCGAACCCUGGGGGAAGCGCUGGACAAGCAGACACAGCCCUCGUGGGGUGCAGGGUCGGGGUGGCAAGAUGACCCCCGCAGGGAGUGAUGGCCUCGAGAAGGAAGACAGAGCUCUGAGGGGAGACGUUGGAUGGCAUCUCUCCAACACUGACUGCCACUGUAGUGGGGUGCAGAGUGUCCCCCAAAAGGUGUGUCCACGACCGGGCCCUGUGAGUGUCCCAACCUGAAAACAGUGUCUGCAGACUAGGGAUCAAGAUGAGACCGUCCUGCAUCUGAGCAGGCAGCUCGGAGACACUGGCCAGAGGACAGGCCACGUGUGAGGACAGAGGGGCAGAGAUAAGGGCACCUGGGGCCACAGGAGGCUGGAAGAGGCCAAAGGACCCACCCCUAGGGCCUCCGGAGGGAGUGCGGCCAUGCCCACACUGGGACUUCUGGACUCCAAGACUGUGAGGGAAGAGAUUCCUGAUUUCAAGCCCCCUCUCCCCCCCCCCCCCGACCCUCAGUAUGACCCAGGGGAGGAAAUGUGUCUCACGCUGGACCUGUGUGGCCAUGGGAUCUGUGUAGCUGUCACGGUGGCUGCUGAUGGUGGCUGCCCACCUCCCCCUGGCCUGUGGGGAGGCGCCUGGGGGCUGGCUUCCUUCUCUAUCCGAGGGUCCCUCCAGCCUCGAGAAGCUGAGGGAAGCCUCAGCCGGUGACGGGCAGGAGUUUGCAGGUGACCCUGCAGCUUUCUUGGCCCUCUGGAGCCGGCAGCUCGGGCCUCGCCCGGCCCUGCCUUCAGAGGCCCCGCGUCGCUCUGCUGAAGGCAGCAUGCUGGGAAUCAGGCACCGUGUACGCACUGGGCCUGUUCACCAGCACAGCACCUAUGGCCAGGAGCAGGAGCGGGGACGCAAGGACGAGGCCUCACUCUCCUGGCACCCCUGCUCGUGCUGGGCUCAUGCUGCGCGUGGGACCCACCCAAGCCCAGCCCCGUGCCCCAGAACUCACCUCCAGGUCCCAUCUCACUAAGCUGCCCGGUCCCCCAAUGUGGGACAAGCUGGACCCACCUAGUGUUUGAGCCCCAUCCCCUCACAGGGGGUCACAGAUGACAAGAGAGGAUAGCGGUGACCCCGGGCCGUGGCGGGGGCUUCUAGCUCUGGUCUUCUGAGUCCUGUAGCUGCACGAUGAUGGUGUGAGGAGCUGGACCCACACGGUUUCGUGGGGUCCCUCCUGCCCUACCUGGGGCCACCACCCAGUCCCCUCGGCGCCCUGCCUGCCAUUCCCCACCCCACCUGGCCAGAGCAAGCCCCGUGCCCCAAGCACCCCUUCUCCCCUGCGUUGAAAUGCCACAUCUCUGCCACCCUGCUGACUGUGACGGGUGCUCGCCCGGGCACAGGUGCCCGCUCGGUGAAGCGAUGGCGCUAAUGAGCAGAAACCGUCGUGUCUGAGCGUCUGUCGCAAGGACAAGGCCACGUCUGCUGCGGGCACGCCUUACGACCCCUUUGCUCCCGACCAGCCCCCAGGAACAGUUACCAAUGGAAAAGACAGCCCUGAAAAAAUGUGUGGGGGGCAGUGGCGCUCAAACGUGGCCCCGGGAGGAAUCCUGCCACACCGUGACCAGUUCCUGCGCACACAGAGGACUGGAAUACAGCUUCCCAGAUGGUCCUAACCCUUAGUCACCCCGUUCCGCUCCGUUCUAGCCAAUGCUGUUUCACUUCUUCGGGAAAAUGCUGGAUUCUGCCGGCUGCACCGAUGUUGCCUGCUGCAGGGUGGAGGCCGCCGCAGGGAACACAGGUGUCACAGGGCCAGCGCCUAAACCUCCCGCCCGCUUCUAAUUUCACCGAGAGAACUGCACACAGGCACACAAGGUAGCCUCCUGAGAGCCCACGGCCAGAGCUGCUGCUGGGCCCCAUCUUCUGGCCCCCCUGAGCGUCCCGCUGCCUCACCUCCCGGGGCUGCUCCUGCACCCUGCGAGCUGUUUGUGCAAUCCACGGCUGGAAGGACUCAGCACUGGUUGGCCCAACUCUCAUUUGUUCAGAACAGGAGACUGCAGCUCAGAGAGGGGAGCAACUUGCCCAGAGUCACUCAGCUACAUGGGGAUCUGAGGAUUCAUUGCACACUGGGCCCUGGCCCCGGUUCCUGAGGCCUCAGCCCUAGUCUGCGUCCUUGAGCCCCUUCAUGGUGGAUCUCGAGCCUUGGUCCCUGACCCUGAUGUCAGCCCUCUCCCGGGGCCGGCUCCUGCGUCUGCUGGCUCCCUGCAGAGCAGCUGGGGGCCUUCUCAGCUGCGCGGGCGGCUGUGCCCGCACAAAGAUCUCGAGUCUUUGAUGACCACAAUGCUCGGUGCUGAUUGACAAACGAGCUGGUACCUGAGCUGCUCAAGCAGAGUAAUGACACCGUGUGUUAGCUCAAGGGCCGGCGGGGCAGCCCAGAUAAAAACAAAAGGCCGGGAUGGUCUGGGGGCAGCCUGCUGGGCCUCUGGGGCUCGGGGUCUUCAUGCAGGACGGGAAUCAGUCACUCCUGAAUGCUAUGUCCGGGCCUGCACCAGCAUGCUGGGUGGUCCUGGGCUGGCCGCUUGUCAGCUCGUGCUUCUCCCACAUCUCCGUCCCGCCGCUGCGACAGUUCCCGCCUGUCAAUCACUCAGCAACUCAAGUAGUUACCAAGCCAGGCACUGCCCCAGGCUAACAAUAAUAACAGUGACAGCAAGGACAACAGUAAUAGUAAGGACCCUGAAAACACCAGUGUUCCUAUUUCAUUUAAUCUUCACAGCAACUUUGUGAAAUAAAUACUAUUUUAUCAUAAACAGAUCAGAAGAUCAGAUUUUAUAGAUCAGAAGCCUGGGUUACAGAGAGGUGAAGCAGUUUCCCCACUGCCACAUCAUAAGUGUUGGAGGCAGCAUUCAUUAACUUGGGAGCACAUCUGUCUGGCUGUAGACCAGUGAGGGACAUGGGGUAGAAAGUACAGCUCUUGCCUCCAGGCUUGCUUGCUCUUAGAAGGGGACACAAAGAAGAAACAGUUUGCUUUCUUCCACUGGAUACCGUAACAGCUGCAAGCAAUAGCUGGAACCAUGGCAACCCUUUUGUGAUAUUGAGGAAGAGGCUGACAUGUUGAGGAUGAAAGAGCAGCAAGAGGGAAGAACAUGGGUUCUCGAUGAUGGCACCCAGCUAACCAUCUAUGGAGCCACCAAGCCUUCCGCUUUCUUUUCCUGCAGGGAAAAAAUAUUUUCCUUAUUGUAUAAACUGCCUUGGAUUGGGUUUCUGCUAUUUAGAACCAAACACCUCCUCUCUGGUUCAUGGUCUAGAAGGGAAACAUCCUUCAGAGUGACCCUUCUGCAGGGAAACUUCCCGACAAAUGUAAGUGCUCAGUAAGUGGGGGUCAUUAUGACGCAGAUGAUGGUGGUGGUGGUGAUAGUGUUGCUGAGGAUUCUGCUGUUCCUGCCAAUAUGGAAGGCCUGACUUUUAGAGAAUACAGGCUUAGCAUUUCCAGCCCAUAUCCUUUCAGGCUUGAACAGGAUGAUCUCAGGAAAGGCAAGGCAUGACAAGGACCACUGCUUUGAGUUAUCUUGGAAUGCUAGUUUCUGCUCUUCUCCUCGUCUGAGUAGCAGCCACAUACUGAAUCUCAGCACCAGUCGGGCCAGGCUGGGCUUCUACUCGUGUUAGCAUAUCCAAUACUCGAAGCCAUCCCGUGACAUUGGCACCAUCCUUAUUCUCCUUUUACAGAUGGGGAGGUCCCGAGAUGUUGAGCAGUUUAUCCCCCCAAAACACAGGAGGAACUGGUGAAGCCAGGAUUUGAAUUCAGGUUUGGCAAAUACUUUAAUCUGCAGAGUGGGUGGAAACGGGAGUGUUCAUCAGGGCCCACGGGGUGCACAUCACUGUGGUCUUGGAGACAGACACACGUGCACAGACGUGGCCCAGAAAUCUUUCCUCAGAAAAUCCAUCCUGUAGCAGGAAAAGUGCCAGUGUGUAAGGAUAUAUUUACAAGGAUAUCUGUUACGGCAUCAUAUGGUGUGGAAGCAAAAAACCAGACAAAUAGACCAAACAACCUGGACACAAACAGAACAUCCCUCAGUGGGGAGGGGGAACCGUGGCCCAU